GUUUGGCUAGCUCAGUCGGUAGUGCAUGAGACUCCAAAUCUCAGGGCCGUGGGUUCGAGCUCCACGUUAGGCG